UUCCGUAGGUGAACCUGCGGAAGGAUCAUUAUUGAAUUAAUGUAGAGUUUGGUUGUAGCUGGCUCCUAAUUAAACUUGGGGGCAUGUGCACACCUUUCUCUUUCAUCCCAUACACACCUGUGCACCUGUGAGACAGAUGUUUUGUGGGGGGGAAGGAACUUUAUUGGACCUUCUACUCCCCCUUGACUUCUGUCUACUUAAUUCAUAUAAACUCAAUUUAUUUUAAAACGGAUGUAAUGGAUGUAACACAUCUAAUACUAAGUUUCAACAACGGAUCUCUUGGCUCUCGCAUCGAUGAAGAACGCAGCGAAAUGCGAUAAGUAAUGUGAAUUGCAGAAUUCAGUGAAUCAUCGAAUCUUUGAACGCACCUUGCGCUCCUUGGUAUUCCUUGGAGCAUGCCUGUUUGAGUAUCAUGAAAUCUUCAAAGUCAAACCUUUUGUUAAUUCAAUUGGUUCUGCUUUGGUAUUGGAGGAUUAUUGCAGCUUCACACCUGCUCCUCUUUGUGCAUUAGCUGGAUCUCAGUGUUAUGCUUGGUUCCACUCAGCGUGAUAAGUUAUCUAUCGCUGAGGACACCCUGUUAAAAAGGGGUGGCCAAGGUAAAUGCAGAUGAACCGCUUCUAAUAGUCCAUUGACUUGGACAAUAUCUAAUUUAUGAUCUGAUCUCAAAUCAGGUAGGACUACCCGCUGAACUUAAGCA
rnacentral:rRNA from 1 species